GAUGAACGCUGGCGGCGUGCCUAAUACAUGCAAGUCGAGCGAACGGACGAGAAGCUUGCUUCUCUGAUGUUAGCGGCGGACGGGUGAGUAACACGUGGAUAACCUACCUAUAAUACUGAGAUAACUUCGGGAAACCGGAGCUAAUACCGGAUAAUAUUUUGAACCGCAUGGUUCAAAAGUGAAAUACGGUCUUGCUGUCACUUAUAGAUGGAUCCGCGCUGCAUUAGCUAGUUGGUAAGGUAACGGCUUAUCAAGGCAACGAUGCAUAGCCGACCUGAGAGGGUGAUCGGCCACACUGGAACUGAGACACGGUCCAGACUCCUACGGGAGGCAGCAGUAGGGAAUCGUCCGCAAUAGGCGAAAGCCUGACGGAGCAACGCCGCGUGAGUGAUGAAGGUCUUCGGAUCGUAAAACUCUGUUAUUAGGGAAGAACAUAUUUGUAAGUAACUGUGCACAUCUUGACGGUACCUAAUCAGAAAGCCACGGCUAACUACGUG
rnacentral:rRNA from 1 species